rnacentral:lncRNA from 1 species
GACACAUAAAAUCAACCACCACUAUAGCCAGGCCAGCCUCAGGAUAAGUGUCUUUCCCAGUUUCAUAUAUAGAAGACGAAUUAAAUAUGAACUGAAUGACGGAUUUUGUGGAGACUGUCCAGGCGGAUCCAAAACCAAGCAGAAGCGCUCAGAAGUACCCUUGUCAGAACACUGGGAGAGAGACGUUGACAGCCACCAACCGAAUGCUGAACAAAGGCGGAGGAAACUGGAAAAUGAAUGCUAUGGUGAAUGCCACCGAGUCCAUGGGGACAGUAAUGAGAAAAUGAAGAUGGAUGCUUCUUGGAGCUCAGCUAACGGCUUUGCUCUGGUUCCAUCAUCUGCCUUUAAUGAUUCUGGUUCCCCUAUGGAGAUCAUUGGUUUUCAGCAAGGUCCAGUGAAGAGGCAGAGAACUGAGUUAGCUGUGUCGUCUUAGGAGUUGGGGGCCAUCCCCAAAGACCUCCAUGGCCUCUGAAUUUAAUUGUGAUAAAAAGAAAACAGCAAAAGGACCCGCAUUAGUUGUCCCCACUGGAACUCUUCUGCCUUCCUGGACGUUGUUGUCCGAGUGGGUGGAGGAAGAACUUUGGACAGACUUCUACGCUUCCCACCCUCUGACACCUGUAGAAAAUCGUCAUUCUAGUCCAGAGUUAUCGGUUUCCCCCUGGACUCCUGCAAACUCUACCUGGAAGAAGAAUCUGUUCUCCAUCUCUGAGGCAGUGGUUCUCACACAUGCUCAUCACAAGAGUCCCUCAAAGGGGCAGAGUCCCAGCUGGAAUCAGGAAAUGUGAUCACAGAAGCCAGGUCAGAGUGAUGUGCCUGUUGGCUUCAAAGACGGAGGAAAGGGGCCAUGAGCCAAAGGAUGUGAGCAGCCUCUAGAAGCUGGACAAGGCAAAGAUUCUCUGCCAGAGACUCUGAAAGGAACAGAGCUCCGCCGACAUCUGCGUUAGCCCAGUGAGACCCUUUUUGGACAUCUGGACUAGAGAAUGGAGCCGGUGCCUUCAUCUCUGUAACUAAGACCUGACACGUCCAUGGGGUCCAGCGGGAGGACAGGUGAACUGCUUUGGCUAUUGUGCGUGCUGCGGCUGGAGCCCGCUCAGGGAUCCAGGAAGUUCUAUCGAUGCCUGGGGCACUGACUCUGGAGGGAGGACAAAAUUGAGUAGUUAUAGACCUAGGGAUAAAAAUCCAUGUCUCUUGCAACUCGGACUUGCAUCCAAUGAAAGAAUUUGAACUCUGCUUUCUUUCAAGGCAUUCCAUUGGCACGGCGUUUAGAACCUGAGUCUCUGCAAACAUGAUUAAAGGAAAGGAGUUACUAGUUUUUCCUCUCUUCUGGCUGUUAUCUGGGAAGCUCUGAACUCAGAGGAGUUGCCGAGUGGGGGUGUCCUGCAUGAAAGAAGAUGGGAAGGAAAGAACUCCCCAUUUCACUUUCCUAAGCAGUGGAGGAAGGGGAUCAGAAACAGCAAGUGCUGAUGAAAACUCCACUUCCAAAUACAUUCCAUGGCUUAUUUGUGGAGGGAAAUGCUUUUUACCUUUUGAACUUUCAGAUACCUGGCAAAAGCAAAUGGGAUUUCCAGGGAAUGUGUGAAAGGAUCUGGCCCUGCUCUUCGGCACAUCUGCUCAAAUUCCAGGCAGAAUGGACAGAGAGGCUCCUUUCCCGAAAGAAGCAUCAAGAACAGUGCUUGGCAUUAUUUAUAAUAGCCAAGAUAUGGAAACAUCCUAAAGGUCCAUACGACUGUCCACAGAGUGAAUAAAGAAGAUGUGGUAUGUGUAUAUUGAAAUGCUACUCGGUUAUAAAAAAGAAUGGAGUGAUGCCAUUUCCAGCAACAUGGAUGAACCUAGGGAUUUUGUCAUAUUAAGUGAAGUCAGAAAGGCUUAGACCUGGAAGAAACUGCUGUUGCUGCUAUAACAAUAAAGCCAAAGGAAUUUGAGACCAGGCUCUGAGAGUUUGGAAGGAGUAGUGCUGGCUGGUGCCGACUCCUCCCUGGAAAUCGGAUCUCGAGUGGUUCCAACAGUCCAACGACGUGGAGAUUUGCUCUGCCUUCUAAGGGAAGGGUAUCACCUUUGGGCCAAGCAUAUUUGUUGGGUAAACUAUACCUGCCAUUAUGGAGUUCGAGGGAGAAGAGACAGAGACUCCCUAAGCGUGAAGAACUCCGUAACUGAGGACGAUGAACGGAGGACAACAGAAUAAAAGAAGAUAGCUAGAAACAUCAUUGGGAAGAAUCGAAAUUUGGGGCUUUGUUGUCUUUAAAUACUUUGCUCCUUGGGAGUCCCCACUGUGGCUCAGCAGUAAUGAACCUGACUAGUAACCAUGAGGAUGCAGGUUGGUUCCUCGGCCUCACUCAGUGGGCUAAGAAUCCAGCGUUGUCAUGAGCUGUGGUGUAGGUUGCAGAUGCGGCUCGGAUCCUGAGUUGCAGUGGCUGUGGUGUGGGCCGGCUUUGGCAGCUCCCAUUCUACCCCUGGCCUGGGAACUCCCAUAUGCAGCGGGUGUGGUCCCCAAAAGCAAAAAAAAAAAAAAA